rnacentral:rRNA from 1 species
GAUGAACGCUGGCGGCGUGCCUAAUACAUGCAAGUCGAGCGAACAGACGAGGAGCUUGCUCCUUCGACGUUAGCGGCGGACGGGUGAGUAACACGUAGGUAACCUACCUAUAAGACUGGGAUAACUUCGGGAAACCGGAGCUAAUACCGGAUAAUAUUUUGAACCGCAUGGUUCGAUAGUGAAAGACGGCUUUGCUAUCACUUAUAGAUGGACCUGCGCCGUAUUAGCUAGUUGGUACGGUAACGGCUUACCAAGGCAACGAUGCGUAGCCGACCUGAGAGGGUGAUCGGCCACACUGGAACUGAGACACGGUCCAGACUCCUACGGGAGGCAGCAGUAGGGAAUCUUCCGCAAUGGGCGAAAGCCUGACGGAGCAACGCCGCGUGAGUGAUGAAGGUCUUCGGAUCGUAAAACUCUGUUAUUAGGGAAGAACAAACGUGUAAGUAACUGUGCACGUCUUGACGGUACCUAAUCAGAAAGCCACGGCUAACUACGUG